rnacentral:rRNA from 1 species
UAGGGAAUCUUCCGCAAUGGGCGAAAGCCUGACGGAGCAACGCCGCGUGAGUGAUGAAGGUCUUCGGAUCGUAAAACUCUGUUAUUAGGGAAGAACAAAUGUGUAAGUAACUAUGCACAUCUUGACGGUACCUAAUCAGAAAGCCACGGCUAACUACGUGCCAGCAGCCGCGGUAAUACGUAGGUGGCAAGCGUUAUCCGGAAUUAUUGGGCGUAAAGCGCGCGUAGGCGGUUUUUUAAGUCUGAUGUGAAAGCCCACGGCUCAACCGUGGAGGGUCAUUGGAAACUGGUUGACUUGAGUGCAGAAGAGGAGAGUGGAAUUCCAUGUGUAGCGGUGAAAUGCGUAGAUAUAUGGAGGAACACCAGUGGCGAAGGCGACUCUCUGGUCUGUAACUGACGCUGAGGCUCGAAAGCGUGGGUAGCAAACAGG